UAUUGAUAUAAUUGCUUUUAGUUAUUUUUAUUUGGAAGGUUUAAAUUAAGUAAUAUUUAGUCGUUGUAUAUUUUAUAAAUAGGAUUUAUAAGGCUAUAGUGGAAUAGUAUUGUGAGAGAAGUUUGAGUUAAAAUAUAUAAUUAAUUUAAGUAAAUUUUAUUAAUUGUAUCUUGUGUAUCAGAGUGUAUUAAGUUGAAUUAUUUAAUUUAUUUAUCUCGAAUUUAAAAGAUUUAAUUGGAUAUAUUAGUUAUUGUGGCAUAAAUAUUAAUAAUAUUUAAUUGGUAAUGAGACGUUAUUCGUUUUUAAGGAUAUCUAGUUGUUUAAUAAAUGAAUUUAAUUCAGAAAACAAUAAUUAUUUUUAUCAUUAGGUGUAAAAAUAUUUAUUGUUUUUAAUUUUUGAAGGGAUAAUCUUUUGAAAAAAUUUUUAUAAUGCGGAUGUAUUUGAUAGAGAAUUUUAUAAAUUUAGAAUUUGUUAUUAAUUAAAGGAUGUUAAAAUUUAAUUCUUUAUUUGGGAAAUUUUUGGUUUUGUUUAAAAUUUUUAUUAAACUGUUUGAGGGAAUUUAAUAUUUUUAGUAAAUAUGAUUUAAUUAGUAAAUGUAAAUGUAUAGAAAAAUAAAAUGAUAAAUUAGUAUAAAGAAUUAGGCAAAUAUUUUGCUCGCCUGUUUAUUAAAAACAUGGUCUCUUUGUUUAUUUAGGAGAUUUAACCUGCCCACUGAAAUAUUUUUGAAGGGCCGCAGUAUUUUGACUGUGCAAAGGUAGCAUAAUCAUUAGUCUUUUAAUUAAGGGCUGGUAUGAAUGGUUGGACGAGGUAAGUUCUGUUUUAUAUUAAUUGUAAUCGAAUUUAAAUUUUAAGUAAAAAUGCUUAAAUUAGGUUAAGGGACGAGAAGACCCUAUAGAGUUUAAUAUAUAAAGUUUUAAUUGAGUUAAAAAGUAAUUUUUGGUUAAUUAUGUAAUGUAUUUAAUUGGGGUGAUUAGAAGAUAAAGAAAACUCUUUUUUGAAGUUAAUAUUAUUGGUAGUUAGAUGAUCCAUGAGUGAUGAUUAAAAGAUUAAAUUACCUUAGGGAUAACAGCGUAAUUCUUUUUGAGAGUUCAUAUCGAAAAAGGAGAUUGUGACCUCGAUGUUGGAUUAAGAUAAAUUUUGGGUGUAGAUGUUUAAAAAUUAGGUCUGUUCGACCUUUAAAUUCUUACAUGAUCUGAGUUUAAACCGGCGUGAGCCAGGUUGGUUUCUAUCUUUAAUUUUAUUUAAUACUUUAGUACGAGAGGACCAAGUAUUAGAAAUAAUUUUUAUUAAUUUGAAUACUAUUAAAUUG
rnacentral:rRNA from 1 species